rnacentral:tRNA from 1 species
GCCCGGCUAGCUCAGUCACUAGAGUAUGAGACUCUUAAUCUCAUGGUCAUGGGUUCAAACCCCACAUUGGGUG